UCCAAAUCACAUUAGAAAAUUGCUUAGUGAGUCUUAAAGAGAAAGGGAAAGGGUUCUUAAUCCUCACUGCUGUCUCUUUCCUUCCUUCCAAGCAACCUCAGUCCCUGCCUUGUUCACAUACUUAAAUUAAUAUAACUUCUAAUGUAUUGAGAAAGAUACUUUAAAUUUAGCUCAUUAUAGGUGGAAUGCUCGAUCACUCCUAGAAAGGACAA
rnacentral:lncRNA from 1 species